ensembl:lncRNA
GUCUUAAACAGGAAUGAACUCGUUUGUUGUGAGGUCGUUGUGAAGCCCCGCGGUCUCGCGUUGUCAAAAGAGCUGACGCAAAUCGUUCAUUUUCAAACUUCAGCAGCUGAAAAACACCUACUUUUAGCUCUUGGUUUGUUCUAAUGGGUGGAUUGUGUGCAAUCGCUGUAAUAUUUUAUUUUUAUAAGGUCUUAAACAAGAAUAAAUUCGUUUCUUGUGAGCUCGUAGUGCGAGUGCAGGAGAAGCCGCGCCGUCUCGCGCUGUCAAAAGAGCUGACGCAAAUCGUUCAUUUUCAAACUUCAACAGCUGAAAAACACCCACUUUUAGCUCUUGGUUUGUUCUAAUGGGUUGAUUGUGUGCAAUCGCUGUAAUUAUUUUUUUUUAAAAGGUCUUAAACAGGAAUAAAUUCGUUUGUUGUGAGCUCGCUGUGCGACUGCACGAGAAGCCGCGCCGUCUCGCGCUGUCAAAAGAGCUGACGCAAAUCCUUCAUUUUCCACACUUCAAC